rnacentral:lncRNA from 1 species
CCAUUUCCGAGCACCUCGUGGGAGGCCGAGGAGGAGCGGGAAGCAGAGCUGAGCAUCACUGCCCUGCAGCCCUGCCUGGCUGCUGCCAGCAUUACCCCUGCCUGCCCUCCAGCUGCACGACGCAAAGCCCAUGCAGAACUGCCAUGGCAGGUCCCAGCCCUGUGCUGCCCAGAUAAGAGCAGCGAGACAGAAGCCACUUUAGUAACUGCAGGACUCGUGCGACUGCACUUCAGCUGCUCUGUAACCAGAGAAUAGAGAAGACAGCACUUUGGAAAUGAAUUGAAACUGCAUAGAAUAGGAGGAAAAAAUCAGAUCCGAGGCCUGCUGAGGUCUGAGGCUCCUUCAAGAACCGAGGAGGUGAGGUUUGUGGCAAUUAGAUCGUGAAGUUUUGAUUGUGGCUGUGCCACGGGCUGUGUGUAACAGAGCCUGGGUAGCACAACCUGGGUCUAGAUAUUGGGGUAUCUUCAUAUCUAGAAGUUGGGCUUUCAUCCCAGACGUGGAGGGCUCUGAUACACAGGGCUUAAAGAAAAUCAGAAAUAUGGGCCAGGGGAGGGAACUGAACCUGUCCAACACUUUCUAGUGCAUCCUCCAGCUAAGUAGGAAAGUGUCCAC